rnacentral:rRNA from 1 species
UGAGACACGGUCCAGACUCCUACGGGAGGCAGCAGUGGGGAAUAUAUGCGCAAUAGGGGAAACCCUGACGCAGCAACGCCGCGUGGGUGAUGAAGGUCUUCGGAUUGUAAAGCCCUGUUUUCUGGGACGAUAAUGACGGUACCAGAGGAGGAAGCCACGGCUAACUACGUGCCAGCAGCCGCGGUAAUACGUAGGUGGCGAGCGUUGUCCGGAUUUACUGGGCGUAAAGGUGCGUAGGCGGAUGUUUAAGUGGGAUGUGAAAUCCCCGGGCUUAACCUGGGGGCUGCAUUCCAAACUGGAUAUCUAGAGUGCAGGAGAGGAAAGCGGAAUUCCUAGUGUAGCGGUGAAAUGCGUAGAGAUUAGGAAGAACACCAGUGGCGAAGGCGGCUUUCUGGACUGUAACUGACGCUGAGGCACGAAAGCGUGGGUAGCAAACAGGAUUAGAUACCCUGGUAGUCCACGCCGUAAACGAUGGAUACUAGGUGUAGGGGGUAUCAACUCCCCCUGUGCCGCAGUUAACACAAUAAGUAUCCCGCCUGGGGAGUACGGUCGCAAGAUUAAAACUCAAAGGAAUUGACGGGGGCCCGCACAAGCAGCGGAGCAUGUGGUUUAAUUCGAAGCAACGCGAAGAACCUUACCUGGACUUGACAUCCCUUGCAUAGCCUAGAGAUAGGUGAAGCCCUUCGGGGCAAGGAGACAGGUGGUGCAUGGUUGUCGUCAGCUCGUGUCGUGAGAUGUUAGGUUAAGUCCUGCAACGAGCGCAACCCUUGUUAUUAGUUGCUACCAUUAAGUUGAGCACUCUAAUGAGACUGCCUGGGUAACCAGGAGGAAGGUGGGGAUGACGUCAAAUCAUCAUGCCCCUUAUGUCCAGGGCUACACACGUGCUACAAUGGUAGGUACAAUAAGACGCAAGACCGUGAGGUGGAGCAAAACUUAUAAAACCUAUCUCAGUUCGGAUUGUAGGCUGCAACUCGCCUACAUGAAGCUGGAGUUGCUAGUAAUCGCGAAUCAGAAUGUCGCGGUGAAUACGUUCCCGGGCCUUGUACACACCGCCCGUCACACCAUGAGAGCUGGUAACACCCGAAGUCCGUGAGGUAACCGUAAGGAGCCAGCGGCCGAAGGUGGGAUUAGUGAUUGGGGUGAAGUCGUAACAAGGUAGCCGUAGGAGAACCUGCGGCUGGAUCACCUCCUUUCUA